GCAACUUAUGAAUAUCGAACGAUAUUCCCAUGUUAUGCACAUAAGCUCAACGAUAACGGGAGAGAUGCAAGAACAUUUGAGUUGCUGGGAUGUGCUGCGUUCUGCAUUGCCGGUUGGAACCGUGAGUGGAGCACCAAAGGUUAGUGUAAGUUUGAGGUGAUUUUGGUUGAGAUAGGAAGAUUAUCUAAUGCAAUGGAUGGUGG
rnacentral:sRNA from 1 species